AUUGAACGCUGGCGGCAUGCUUUACACAUGCAAGUCGAACGGUAACAGGCCUUCGGGUGCUGACGAGUGGCGCACGGGUGAGUAAUGCAUCGGAACGUACCCAGAGGUGGGGGAUAACGCAGCGAAAGCUGUGCUAAUACCGCAUGUGAUCUGAGGAUGAAAGCGGGGGACCGAGCAGCAAUGUUUGGCCUCGCGCCUUUGGAGCGGCCGAUGUCGGAUUAGCUAGUUGGUGGGGUAAAGGCCUACCAAGGCGACGAUCCGUAGCUGGUCUGAGGGGACGACCGGCCACAUGGGGACUGAAACACGGCCCAGCCCCCUAGGGGAGGCAGCAGGGGGGAAUUUGGGACAAGGGGGGCAACCCUGACCCAGCAAUGCCGGGGGCGGGAAGAAGGCCUGCGGGUUGUAAACCGUUUUUGGGAGGAACAAAACGGUGUCCGCUAAAACCGGGCGCUAAUGCCGGUACCUGCAAAAAAAGCACCGGUUAACUACGU
rnacentral:rRNA from 1 species